rnacentral:rRNA from 1 species
UGGGGAAUAUUGGACAAUGGGCGCAAGCCUGAUCCAGCCAUGCCGCGUGAGUGAUGACGGCCUUAGGGUUGUAAAGCUCUUUCGCCAGGGACGAUAAUGACGGUACCUGGAUAAGAAGCCCCGGCUAACUUCGUGCCAGCAGCCGCGGUAAUACGAAGGGGGCUAGCGUUGUUCGGAAUCACUGGGCGUAAAGCGCACGUAGGCGGAUCUUUAAGUCAGAGGUGAAAUCCCAAGGCUCAACCUUGGAACUGCCUUUGAUACUGGGGAUCUCGAGUUCGGGAGAGGUGAGUGGAACUGCGAGUGUAGAGGUGAAAUUCGUAGAUAUUCGCAAGAACACCAGUGGCGAAGGCGGCUCACUGGCCCGAUACUGACGCUGAGGUGCGAAAGCGUGGGGAGCAAACAGG